UUUGACCUCGGAUCAGGUAGGAAUACCCGCUGAACUUAAGCAA
rnacentral:rRNA from 1 species